rnacentral:rRNA from 1 species
UAAUACGUAGGGGGCUAGCGUUGUCCGGAAUCAUUGGGCGUAAAGCGCGCGUAGGCGGCCCGGUAAGUCCGCUCUGAAAGUCCAGGGCUCAACCCUGGAAAGCGGGUGGAUACUGCCGGGCUAGAAUCCGGAAGAGGCGAGUGGAAUUCCUGGUGUAGCGGUGGAAUGCGCAGAUAUCAGGAGGAACA